rnacentral:lncRNA from 1 species
ACAUUAAGAAAGAGGCAAUGUCGUCCAUACCAAGCACAUGAGUUGCCAACCAUUGGUUUUGGGGCCCACAAAUAGAGUACUAUAUUAAACAAUUUUGCUUGGAUUCUUAAAGGCUUUGUCUUGGCUACAAUAUUGUUAUGUAUUUGUACAAACCCCACCUCCCAUGCAAUCACUUCUUGACACUUUAGGGUUUCGGUGGGUGGGGACAAGGAGAGACCCAAAGUCCAGAGCUUCGCCGUCCUCAUCUAUGCACUGAAAAAAGUUAGACAAUAACCUCCAUUUAAUGCAU